ACCUUCAAUCAUUUUUCUUUACACUAUAUAAUAUAUAUACAUAGAGAAAAAUGAAUUAAUAAAAUACACAGAAUAACUGCCUAAUAUAUAUUGGCUUCUACUUUUGAAGAGGAAACAUAUAUUUUAAUCCAAAAUUAUAUAUAAAAUAGGUUGCAUAUAAUGUAUAUUGCAGCGGAAGAUAUUGAAGCUGGAACUCAUAAGCCAAAGUUUCAAACGGAUCUUACUCUACCAAUAUAUCUAAAGGGAACGAUUAUUGAAGCUUCAUUAUAUUAAUCAUUGAUCAACGCCACCAAUAAGCUAGCAAUAUAAGCAUGAUCAGGGCAUCAGUGUAAAUUUAUUUUGUCAUACCCUGAAAGAAAGACAUAGGUUGAGGCUUUGGAAACCAUCUUCUAGAUUUGAGAGGCUUUAUAAGAUAUGUGCAUUGAGCUUAAUUUUAUGCUUGAUAUAAUAAUAAUAAUUAGUUACUAGUAAAUAAGAGUUAAAUUGUGAUUAUGGGUAUAAA